ACUUAAAUUGAAGAGUUUGAUCAUGGCUCAGAUUGAACGCUGGCGGCAGGCCUAACACAUGCAAGUCGAGCGGUAGCACAGAGAGCUUGCUCUCGGGUGACGAGCGGCGGACGGGUGAGUAAUGUCUGGGAAACUGCCUGAUGGAGGGGGAUAACUACUGGAAACGGUAGCUAAUACCGCAUAACGUCGCAAGACCAAAGUGGGGGACCUUCGGGCCUCAUGCCAUCAGAUGUGCCCAGAUGGGAUUAGCUAGUAGGUGGGGUAACGGCUCACCUAGGCGACGAUCCCUAGCUGGUCUGAGAGGAUGACCAGCCACACUGGAACUGAGACACGGUCCAGACUCCUACGGGAGGCAGCAGUGGGGAAUAUUGCACAAUGGGCGCAAGCCUGAUGCAGCCAUGCCGCGUGUGUGAAGAAGGCCUUCGGGUUGUAAAGCACUUUCAGCGGGGAGGAAGGCGUUAAGGUUAAUAACCUUGGCGAUUGACGUUACCCGCAGAAGAAGCACCGGCUAACUCCGUGCCAGCAGCCGCGGUAAUACGGAGGGUGCAAGCGUUAAUCGGAAUUACUGGGCGUAAAGCGCACGCAGGCGGUCUGUCAAGUCGGAUGUGAAAUCCCCGGGCU
rnacentral:rRNA from 1 species